GACGAACGCUGGCGGCGUGCCUAAUACAUGCAAGUAGAACGCUGAAGAGAGGAGCUUGCUCUUCUUGGAUGAGUUGCGAACGGGUGAGUAACGCGUAGGUAACCUGCCUUGUAGCGGGGGAUAACUAUUGGAAACGAUAGCUAAUACCGCAUAACAAUGGAUGACACAUGUCCUUUAUUUGAAAGGGGCAAUUGUUCCACUACAAGAUGGACCUGCGUUGUAUUAGCUAGUAGGUGAGGUAAUGGCUCACCUAGGCGACGAUACAUAGCCGACCUGAGAGGGUGAUCGGCCACACUGGGACUGAGACACGGCCCAGACUCCUACGGGAGGCAGCAGUAGGGAAUCUUCGGCAAUGGGGGCAACCCUGACCGAGCAACGCCGCGUGAGUGAAGAAGGUUUUCGGAUCGUAAAGCUCUGUUGUAAGUCAAGAACGGGUGUGAGAGUGGAAAGUUCACACUGUGACGGUAGCUUACCAGAAAGGGACGGCUAACUACGUG
rnacentral:rRNA from 1 species